rnacentral:rRNA from 1 species
GUUCAGGACGAACGCUGGCGGCGUGCUUAACACAUGCAAGUCGAACGAGAAUCUGCGGAAAGAGGAUUCGUCCAAUUGAAGCAGAGGACAGUGGCGGACGGGUGAGUAACGCGUGAGGAACCUGCCUUUCAGAGGGGGACAACAGUUGGAAACGACUGCUAAUACCGCAUGACAUAUAGAUGUCGCAUGGCAUUUAUAUCAAAGAUUUAUCGCUGAAAGAUGGCCUCGCGUCUGAUUAGCUAGUUGGUGAGGUAACGGCCCACCAAGGCGACGAUCAGUAGCCGGACUGAGAGGUUGAACGGCCACAUUGGGACUGAGAUACGGCCCAGACUCCUACGGGAGGCAGCAGUGGGGAAUAUUGGGCAAUGGGCGCAAGCCUGACCCAGCAACGCCGCGUGAAGGAAGAAGGCUUUCGGGUUGUAAACUUCUUUUGUCAGGGACGAGUAGAAGACGGUACCUGACGAAUAAGCCACGGCUAACUACGUGCCAGCAGCCGCGGUAAUACGUAGGUGGCAAGCGUUGUCCGGAUUUACUGGGUGUAAAGGGCGUGUAGCCGGGAGGGCAAGUCAGAUGUGAAAUCCACGGGCUCAACUCGUGAACUGCAUUUGAAACUACUCUUCUUGAGUAUCGGAGAG